AGCGAACGCUGGCGGCAGGCUUAACACAUGCAAGUCGAGCGGGCACUUCGGUGUCAGCGGCAGACGGGUGAGUAACACGUGGGAACGUACCCUUCGGUUCGGAAUAACGCUGGGAAACUAGCGCUAAUACCGGAUACGCCCUUUUGGGGAAAGGUUUACUGCCGAAGGAUCGGCCCGCGUCUGAUUAGCUAGUUGGUGGGGUAAUGGCCUACCAAGGCGACGAUCAGUAGCUGGUCUGAGAGGAUGAUCAGCCACACUGGGACUGAGACACGGCCCAGACUCCUACGGGAGGCAGCAGUGGGGAAUAUUGGACAAUGGGCGCAAGCCUGAUCCAGCCAUGCCGCGUGAGUGAUGAAUGCCUUAGGGUUGUAAAGCUCUUUUGUCCGGGACGAUAAUGACGGUACCGGAAGAAUAAGCCCCGGCUAACUUCGUG
rnacentral:rRNA from 1 species